rnacentral:rRNA from 1 species
CAAUAGCGUAUAUUAAAGUUGUUGCAGUUAAAAAGCUCGUAGUUGGAUUUCUGACGGGAGCCCUGGUCACUUUAACGAGUGUACUGACGUGGCGUCUUGUCGUUUCAUGGGGAUGCUUGCUGGUAUUAAGUUAUCGGCUUGUGGAUCCAUGUCGUUUACUGUGAAAAAAUUAGAGUGUUCAAAGCAGGCCAUCGCUGUGAAUACAUUAGCAUGGAAUAAUAAGAUAGGACUGUGGUGCUAUUUUGUUGGUUUGCGUACUACGGUAAUGAUUAAUAGGGAUAGUUGGGGGUAUUCAUAUUCAAUUGUCAGAGGUGAAAUUCUUGGAUUUAUGGAAGAUGAACUACUGCGAAAGCAUUUACCAAGGAUGUUUUCAUUAA